GAAAGGGUCACAAGAGACCUCCCCUUCGGAGUAACUUGUAUUGUCAUCAUCAGCAUUUUGGGAUUUCAGGCCUGUAUUUUUCAUGGAGAUAACAGGUAGUUUGCUGAAGGAUGAAAGAAAAUGACCCGUGAAGAACACUAAAAGUUCAGCUGAACUUAAUUCAGUGGAGAAAGGACUUGAGGAACUCCAAGAAGGCAGAAAUCCUUUUUUCUCUUCAAUGAUAAACACCAAUUGACUAGAGUGAAAAGAAGAAAACUGGGUAGUGUAAUUGAAAUAGCAAAGUUACACAUUUCCAUUAUUUGGGAAAAGGAAUAUCUAGGAAAAAUAAGAAAUAGAUAUUUGUCCUUCCUAGGACUUGAUUUUCAGGUCCAGGAAUAAAAGCAUACAGAUAGAAGUGGCAGCUCUCACCACUACCCCAAGUGCCCCCCCUACCAAAUUAUUUGCCCACUGGAUCCAAGACCUUAUGUUCUGCUUGCUUAAAAGUCUAAAGGAAGGAACGAUUCUACUAGGAGAUAUAGCAAUGACCCACUGAACUGGACAUUAAGACUGUCAACCAGAA